rnacentral:misc_RNA from 1 species
CUAAGGAGCACUUCUCCACGAUGCGUCACACAGGUGAUUGUGGUCGUGGCAGAGGCCAUGUCGGACUCGAAUGUAGUCCGGUGGUUGCUCAUGGGUGGAACGCUGGCAUGUGCCUCGUGUAUCGGUUGGUCCUGUGUGGCCGGCCGGCGGGGAUGUAGUCGACACACUGUUGGGUCCUGAGAGAACACGCGAGUGACUCUCUAGGUAUGAGAUAACGACGAGGCUGGAUCUUCAGUCAUACCGCGGGGCUUUCUUCGGAGGUUUUCGGUCUGGUGCUGAGUCAGGGUUUGGUCUUGCGUGUUGUUUGAGAACUGCACAGUGGACGCGAGCAUCUUUGUUUGUAAGUGUUUAAGAGCGUUC